rnacentral:rRNA from 1 species
AUGAUGGCACCGGCAAGGACUGCAUCUUCAGGACUCCUCAAGAUUUCGAGACUCGAGACAAGAAUUCAAUACACACUACUGGGUGAAGGAUGGUUGAUGGGCACCCUGGAGAAACCAGUGGUUGGCCGGGAUGCAUGGAGAAGCGCCAUGACAUCUUGCGGAAAGCUUCACCCAGACUCAAAGAGACGGAAGGAUACUUCAUCCCCGGAAGCUUACCUGUGCAACCGCAAGUCACUAUGGGCUUUGGCUUGGUUGACCUUAGUGGUGACUCUGGCUGGGACGGUGCUAGCAGAUGUAGAACUACGAUAG